UGCGCCAUCGUGCUGCUCCGAACCGUGUCAUUAUCCUUAACCCUCUACAAUAUCUCGUUACCGGUAUCGAGCGCAUUUCAGAGAUGACGAGUGCAACGAGUGACUUUGUCAUUUCGUUACUGCAUCUCAUCCGUCAAGUCUUUUCCUCUUCGCGGUACUUCUAGCAUAGUAGCCGCUCGAUAAGUCGCCGUACUCGAGGGACUACAGAUGGUCCUUGUUGAGAAACGAAGAAUUAUCGAGCGUGAUACGAAUGUACCGACUUAGGAUCACAAAGGGUCAACAUAUUCCAAUAGGAUGUUCCGAGUCAAUGGCCUGAAAGAUAUGUUCGUGAAUUUUUUAAUGUUCAAUUUAAAACUUAACAUUAAAAAAUUUGUACAAAUACAUAUUCAGUAGAAUUAUGUAACGCUGAAAUAAUGCACAGCUAUUUUACAUUACACGAGGUACGGGUCUUCAAAUAAUGGUAAUUCAGUUAUGAUUCUUUGUAGAAAUUAAAAGUAUAACGCUUGAAAUGCUUCUCAGUGAAUCACGGGAACUCCUAGAAAGUUUAUGGUAUAAAAUUAGAUUACUCGUUCCUUACAUAAACCCAUACUUAUUAGAUGUUAAUAAUAUAGAUGUUGUAAUGUCUGUAAAAUCAAAUAUUUACCUACCUCAACUGUUAACACGCCAGUGAAGCACAUCGAUAACGAGUAUGUAUACAUAUACACGGUAGUUGUGCAAUCGAACGAGUACUUUUAACCGAUGACGAUUAUAAAACGGUUAGGUAACCAAAAGUGCAUCGAAGUUGGCAUUCGUGAGACGAAUAAGCCAACGAGAUCAGUUAUCCGUCGGUUGUACUGAUGAUAACUUUUCGACGAAUUAUCGUGCACUAGUCACGAAAAAUCAUGGGUAAAGUGUACUCGAUUUUCGAAACAAUAGACGGUUGGAUACGGGAGGUGAAAGGUCUCCGUCGAAUAUCUAGAAACCGAGUUUCCGAAACGAAAAUCACGAUCGAUACGAACGACAGUAUCUUCCAUCACGAAACGUGGAAGCAAGCUUUCCUGACCGAUUCACCGGUACUUCGUGAUCUACUGUUCGGUGUGCCCACCGAGAGCAACGUGAUCGAUGUCAUUUGCACGAUCAAUCGUUUCAUCUUCUUUUACUUGAUCAUUAAAUGGAUCAAUUUCGAAGUACGCACGAUUUUUGACACCGAUCAUUUUCAUUUUAAUUGAUCUCGAAACGCGAAAAAUGACUCGUAAUUGAUCCGUGUACCUAAAAUUCAGCUAAUGUGGUUAUAUAUUGAAGGAGGUAAACAGGGCAAUAUAAAUAAAAGUAACUAUUCCAUGUUUUUGGCAAAUGAUACAUUUUAUUCCUCUUAUUAAUUACACAGCGUUGGAUACCGAAUUGAGAACCCGCGUGUUUACUUUUGUAUGGUAGCCGCUUGGUAAUUUCCCUCUUUCGAGGCUCUAGAGACAAUUAUCGAGCGACUACUUACAAUUAGCAGAGCGGUAGGCACUGCCCCUGGAUAUAUACCACUCGGCAUACUGUGGCGUCAAGCAGGUCAUCUCAUGCAGGGGCCUGUACCGCUUCGAUACCUUUCGUCCAUAACUCAUUCGCAUUCACGGCACCUUUUCAUCGGGUUUGAAGGUCCCGAUUAAUUUCAAUGUAUCAGGAAAAAUACAAUGAUAAAAUAUGUUCCGUCUGUCCUUUCCGUUAUGAGUUUCAAUUGGCAAUGUAACCAAAAAAGAAGGUUAUCCUUGAGCAAUAAACGAAUGGAUAGACGAAAUAAUAACUGAAAAGGGAUAGAGGGUGAGAAGAUGACAAAAGAGAACGAGAAGUACUGCGAAGUACAGAAAUAAGUAGCGUGGAGACCGGGUUAGGUAAGCAGGGGGGAUAAAAGGAUAGGUCGGAAAAGAAGGAAACGCUCGAGGAUGUAAAGAACAGCGGAGACAGAAAGAGAGAGUACGUAAAGGCAAGGAGGAGAAUGGAGAAACUCAUGGCUGCUGCUGAUCGAUAGAAUGGAGAGCUGCGCGGUAUACACUUGCUUUUCCAAUAGAACAUUGUAGAGAUAUAACGUAUGUAGAUAAACACACAUUUGGGAAAUAAUUGCAUGUAUGCGCAUCCUGCAGAGAUAAUUCUUCAAUGUAAAUCCUAUUUUACUGUAGCUUCCAUUUUGGAUCAUAAUCUGCGAUGAAUAUAUGACAGACUCCACCGAAUUAUUCAUAUUUAACUUCUUGGGUUUUGUUCCCAAUAUCCCAAUGACGACGGCACUCACUUUACCGGUCAAUGACCUUUGAUCGCUUCGGGUCACCUGGCAGUAGUGACAAAAUGGCUAGCACAACUACUCGAGAAAUAAUAUCUGAAAAGCAUGACGUUUCAAAGAGAAUAGUUUCGCUAUGCAUCAUGCCGAUGAUAUGCCAACGACAUAGUCAUAAUGCACGCGAAAGGGUUGUGCUGCGGCAUGGCUUCUAUUGCCGGUCUCCAGGUCAGCGAUGAGAGUGUACAUGGACGAUCCUUAGGCAAACGUAGAACGUCAUUUCUUGGACGGCAUUGUCGUGAAACUAGAGUAUCACUUUUUCCGGGCUAUUUUUCACAUUACACGAAGGGAACGCAAUCGUUUAGAUUCACGAAGAGAACCAAUUUCGUUCACAAACCCUUGCACAGUCGAUCGCAAGUAGCGCCCUCCUGCCAGUGACUACAAAUCCAACAAGAAUAGACAUGCCUUUGUUUUCAAGCGGUUUCGAAUCUGUGCCUUGAGAACGAACGCCAUCUGCUUUAUCCUGUAUAAAAAUGAGAAAUACUUGGCACUGCAACAGUCAACCGCACUUUGAUGCAAUAAGAGAAGCAGCAAGGAGAGGUUGAUUCCGCCCUUCUUUCAACACUAGAUAUGAUGGUUUCACCACCAAAAUUAGUGGGGCCGUCAGGACCCCAGGUGUCGGGAGUGGAAUCUCCAGCCACCAUUACACCGGGUGUGACCCCCGAUGUCGGCCACAUGCUAGACAUCCCAGAAGGGCACGAAUGCACCAGGCGUGGAGAGCUUGGCAGUAAUACACAUAAGUUCCCAGAGUAUUGGUCGCCGUGAGGUUUUAGUCAGUAGGAAUCUGAUCAUUAAAAUAAUUGUUUAACAAAUUUAACUUCAAUUACUUUGGAAAAUAAAUCAUUUUAGAAAAGCAAUAAAAUAAUUAAAAAAUCGAAGAGUA